rnacentral:rRNA from 1 species
CCUACGGGAGUCAGCAGUGAGGAAUAUUGGUCAAUGGACGAGAGUCUGAACCAGCCAAGUAGCGUGAAGGAUGACUGCCCUAUGGGUUGUAAACUUCUUUUAUAAAGGAAUAAAACGAGGCACGUGUGCCUUUUUGCAUGUACUUUAUGAAUAAGGAUCGGCUAACUCCGUGCCAGCAGCCGCGGUAAUACGGAGGAUCCGAGCGUUAUCCGGAUGUAUUGGGUUUAAAGGGAGCGUAGAUGGGUUGUUAAGUCAGUUGUGAAAGUUUGCGGCUCAACCGUAAAAUUGCAAUUGAUACUGGCAGUCUUGAGUACAGUUGAGGUAGGCGGAAUUCGGGGUGUAGCGGUGAAAUGCUUAGAUAUCACGAAGAACCCCGAUUGCGAAGGCAGCUUACUAAACUGUGACUGACAUUGAUGCUCGAAAGUGUGGGUAUCAAACAGGAUUAGAUACCCUAGUAGUC